GCAAAGCGGGGGGGAGGUGGGGCGGGAGUGCGUCGGGUGCGGGGGGUAAUGGGAGUGAGUGGGCGUAAAGCGGGUGCGGGCGGUGGUGCAAGAGAGAUGUGAAAUCCCCGGGGUUAAGCUGGGAAUUGCAUUUGUGACUGCACGGCUAGAGUGUGUCAGAGGGGGGUAGAAUUCCACGUGUAGCAGUGAAAUGCGUAGAUAUGUGGAGGAAUACCGAUGGCGAAGGCAGCCCCCUGGGAUAACACUGACGCUCAUGCACGAAAGCGUGGGGAGCAAACAGGAUUAGAUACCCCUGUAGUC
rnacentral:rRNA from 1 species